GAGCCCGUGGCUCAGUGGUAGAGCGUUCGACUCAAUAACCAAAGGUCGGGGGUUAAAAUCCCAGGUUUG
rnacentral:tRNA from 1 species